rnacentral:misc_RNA from 1 species
AGCAGCAAUUCUGACUUUGUAAAUCAUGGCCUUCUUCUUUGGAUGCAAACAAGGCAGCAAUGGCUUGCAAAUAAGAGGUCUCCAAGCAGGAAACAAGUUCGAGAACCAGCAAUUAGUUGGAAUGCCACUUACGAUAGUUUGCUUGGGAUAAACAAGCCUUUCCCCCGACCUGUCCCUCUUGGUGAAAUGGUGGAUUUUCUUGUUGACGUUUGGGAACAAGAGGGUUUGUAUGACUAAAUAAGCUGGAAAUUUUACAAGUGCUUUCUCCUUCCUUGAAUAUCGCCUAAAGGUUGCACCUAGCAAGGCUUAGUUCCAUUAGCUAAUGGCAUACCUCAAACUUAGCAGGUGUUAGGUUCUAGUCUCCUAAUUCCUCUGUAUGAUUAUUAUAGCAGC